GUGAACCUCAGGAUAACCAGAAAGACUAAUAUUAGCGUAGAUGCCAUUCUUCUUCUGAUGUAACGAGUACAUCAGGCGUUAUAGGAAGUGUUCCCGGUUCCGGCUGACCUAAUUUAUGCAGCCUAAUAAUCCUUUAACAGAUUUGAAAAUAUAAAUUGGUAAUGUGUUAUGUGUAUGCCAAGUUAAAGAAAUGCGUUUUUAGUCUAGAUUUAAACUGACAGAGUGUGUCUGCUUCCCGAACAAUGCUAGGAAGAUUGUUCCAGAGUUUAGGUGCCAAAUAGGAGAAGGAUCUACCGCCUGCGGUUGAUUUUGAUAUUCUAGGUAUUAUCAGCUGGCCUGAAUUCUGAGAUCGCAAUAGACGUGAAGGACUAUAAUGAAUUAGGAGCUCGCUCAGGUACUGGGGAGCUAAACCAUUUAGUGCUUUGUAAGUAAUUAGCAAGAUUUUAAAAUCUAUACGAUGUUUAACAGGAAGCCAAUGCAGUGUUGACAGAACUGGGCUAAUAUGGUCAUACUUCCUAGUUCUAGUAAGAACUCUAGCUGCUGCAUUUUGUACGAGCUGUAGUUUAUUUAUCAGGCGAGCAGAACAACCACCCAGUAGAGCGUUACAGUAAUCUAGCCUUGAGUCAAGUCAAGUCAAGUCACCUUUAUUUAUAUAGCGCUUUUUACAAUGUAGAUUGUGUCAAAGCAGCUUUACAUUGAUAACUGGUACAUUAUUUGGCUGCACAGCAGCUCUUAAAAGAAUAGUGUCAAUGCAGGCAGAUCAAAGCACUGUUGAAUAUCAAAUGUCAAGUCAAAUGUCAAGUGUCCCCAACUAAGCAAGCCAAAGGCGACAGCGGCAAGGAACCCAAACUCCAUCAGGUGACAUCAGGUGGCAGACAAGUGGCAAAUAGGUGUUUAAAUGGAGAAAAAAACCUUGGGAGAAACCAGGCUUAGUCGGGGGGCCAGUUCUCCUCUGGCCAACAGUGCUUUGUUACGAUUCAGGUAGCUAUCAUAAGUCCGACAGGAUCGCAACAUUCAAAGCAUUUAUUCCAGUUCCAUCCAACUGAGGAUUGUAUUCAUCACGGCUGUUGAGGAACUGUGUCGUGGCUGUCGUGUCGAUGAGGCCCUCACAGUGGAUGAUCUAGUUGACUCAAUCUCUGCUGAUACUUCAGGGCUGCGUUGUGGUCGUGUCAAGGCGCAGGUCCUUGGUCUCACCUGGAUACGGCCUGGAUCCGGUUGACUACGGUGAACCUCGGGAUAACCAGAAAGACUAAUAUUAGUGUAGAUGCCAUUCUUCUUCUGAUGUAACAAGUACAUCAGGUGUUAUAGGAAGUGUUCCCGGUUCCGGCUGACCUAAUUUAUGCAGCCUAAUAAUCCUUUAACAGAUUUGAAAAUAUAAAUUGGUAAUGUGUUAUGUGUAUGCCAGGUUAAAGAGAUGCGUUUUUAGUCUAGAUUUAAACUGACAGUGUGUCUGCUUCCCGAACAAUGCUAGGAAGAUUGUUCCAAAGUUUAGGUGCCAAAUAGGAGAAGGAUCUACCGCCUGCAGUUGAUUUUGAUAUUCUAGGUAUUAUCAGCUGGCCUGAAUUCUGAGAUCGCAAUAGACGUGAAGGACUAUAAUGCAUUAAGAGCUCGCUCAGGUACUGGGGAGCUAAACCAUUUAGUGCUUUGUAAGUAAUUAGCAAGAUUUUAAAAUCUAUACGAUGUUUAAUAGGAAGCCAAUGCAGUGUUGACAGAACUGGGCUAAUAUGGUCAUACUUCCUAGUUCUAGUAAGA